GACAGAGGAGGCAAGCGUUAUCCGGAAUGAUUGGGCGUAAAGCGUCCGCAGGUGGCUGUGUAAGUCUGCUGUUAAAGAGUCUAGCUCAACUAGAUACAAGCAGUGGAAACUACACGGCUAGAGUACGUUCGGGGCAGAGGGAAUUCCUGGUGUAGCGGUGAAAUGCGUAGAGAUCAGGAAGAACACCGGUGGCGAAGGCGCUCUGCUAGGCCGUAACUGACACUGAGGGACGAAAGCUAGGGGAGCGAAUGGG
rnacentral:rRNA from 1 species